UACGGAGGGUGCAAGCGUUAAUCGGAAUUACUGGGCGUAAAGCGCACGCAGGCGGCUGAGUCAGUCGAUUGUGAAAGCCCUGGGCUUAACCUGGGAAUUGCAGUCGAUACUACUCAGCUAGAGUAUGGGAGAGGGCAGCGGAAUUCCUGGUGUAGCGGUGAAAUGCGCAGAUAUCAGGAAGAACACCCGUGGCGAAGGCGGCUCUCUGGGACGGUACUGACGCUGAGACGCGAAAGCGUGGGGAGCGAACAGG
rnacentral:rRNA from 1 species